rnacentral:rRNA from 1 species
UACACAACCUUCCUACAAGUGGGGAAUAGCCCAGAGAAAUUUGGAUUAAUACCCCGUAACAUAUAAAGAUGGCAUCAUUUUUAUAUUAUAGCUACGGCGCUUGUUGAUGGGUGUGCGGCUGAUUAGGUAGUUGGCGGGGUAAUGGCCCCACCAAGCCUGCGAUCAGUAGCUGAUGUGAGAGCAUGAUCAGCCACACGGGCACUGAGACACGGCCCG